AACGCACAUUGCGCCUUGAGGUAUUCCUCAAGGCAUGCCUGUUUGAGCGUCGGCUCUUCUCAAACCCUCGGGUUUGGCUUUGCGACGAAAUAUCAAAACUAGUUGUUUUAAGUACCAUCUAGUCACCCCUUUCGCCCUCAAAUCAGGUAGGACUACCCGCUGAACUUAA
rnacentral:misc_RNA from 1 species